GACGAGUGGCGGACGGGUGAGUAAUGUCUGGGAAACUGCCUGAUGGAGGGGGAUAACUACUGGAAACGGUAGCUAAUACCGCAUAACGUCGCAAGACCAAAGAGGGGGACCUUCGGGCCUCUUGCCAUCAGAUGUGCCCAGAUGGGAUUAGCUAGUAGGUGGGGUAACGGCUCACCUAGGCGACGAUCCCUAGCUGGUCUGAGAGGAUGACCAGCCACACUGGAACUGAGACACGGUCCAGACUCCUACGGGAGGCAGCAGUGGGGAAUAUUGCACAAUGGGCGCAAGCCUGAUGCAGCCAUGCCGCGUGUAUGAAGAAGGCCUUCGGGUUGUAAAGUACUUUCAGCGGGGAGGAAGGUGUUGUGGUUAAUAACCGCAGCAAUUGACGUUACCCGCAGAAGAAGCACCGGCUAACUCCGUGCCAGCAGCCGCGGUAAUACGGAGGGUGCAAGCGUUAAUCGGAAUUACUGGGCGUAAAGCGCACGCAGGCGGUCUGUCAAGUCGGAUGUGAAAUCCCCGGGCUCAACCUGGGAACUGCAUUCGAAACUGGCAGGCUAGAGUCUUGUAGAGGGGGGUAGAAUUCCAGGUGUAGCGGUGAAAUGCGUAGAGAUCUGGAGGAAUACCGGUGGCGAAGGCGGCCCCCUGGACAAAGACUGACGCUCAGGUGCG
rnacentral:rRNA from 1 species